ensembl:lncRNA
AAAAAACCUACAGUAAUCAUAGAUUUUAAAAGUAUUUAUUUUGUGCUGCUCUCAGAUAGGCUGUAUAUAAAAUUUUAUUUCAGAGGAAUAAUGCCAUGUAGUGCACUUUGUGGCUGCACUGUGAUUAAGUCCUUUUUAAUCUGCUGUGCAUGUGGAGGUGCAGCGCUUUCCCAGCACAGCUCCCUCCAUGCCAGACUCUCUAUUAAUGGGGUUACCGGCUUAUCGGAAAGAGGCAGAAUUACCCAGCUACGGGAGGCUUUUACUCUGAUCUGCUUAGAAACCCAGGCCAUCUGAGGGCAGGGGGGGCUCAGGGACAGUAAGCCUGUUUCUUCCUCGGGACCAUUUGCCCCUCACAGCUCUAUUUUCUUACAAGGAACUUCCUAGCUGCUAAAUCUGUUCGGCGCGAUCGGUUCCUGCUGCUGCUUUGUCUGUCUGUCUGUCUGCCUCUCCGCGGGUAACAACUGGCACUGCCAGGCGGGGCAGGUCCAGCUCGCCUCCCUCUGCUGCCUGUCGGGCCGGGAGCCCCAGACGGAGCCAGCCGCCAGGUCAGCAGGUGCCUGGUGGCUGAGUUUACCUUACGCAGCCAUGGUGGGCACAGCAAAGGCACGUUUGCCAGAAGAACUGAUUGUCAAUAGGACGGCGAAGUACAGUUGGCUGCAGAGCCUAGGGUACCUGGUGCUGUCAGCAAAGGACAGCUGGUGCUGCUAUGGUGCAGUGCACAGAGCCAUCCUCCCCGUAACCCCGCUGUAACGUUCUCCCCUUACCAGCAUUCCAAUAACAGGUCCUGUUCGUUCCCUUUCGGCCACAGCUCCCAAAUCCGACACUGCGGGAUGGAGGUACAGUGGCACGGUGGGAGGCUGCAACCAGAACAAGCAGAGCUCUUCUUUAUAUGGCAGGGUCCGGACCUCAUGGGGCCACAAAGGAAGGAGCUGGUUGCUGCAAGGCGUCCCCUGGAAACAGACUGGGUUACCUGCAGAAGCCCAUCCCUCCCAGAUCUGCCUGUCCUAAAUCCCAAGCAGAUGGUGCAACUCAGCCCGUCUCCUCCAGCAAGGAUGAUCCCUGGGGCCUCCCUGCAGAGAGUGUACAUUUCAAAGGAUAAUUCCAGCAGCACUCCUUACCCUGAUCUGGAGGCUUCUGAGCAUCUAUGUACUUCAUCAUUCUUCACAUAUACCUGCCCCUGCCUUGCACCAUCUCCCACUGGGGCUUGCUUUUCUCUUCUAAAAGGUAAGCAGAGUUGCAAGCUCUUAGAUGCGGACUUAGAAGCAAAGAUAGCUAUGAAACUCAAGAACCAAAAAUAAAAAUCAGAAAGGGAAACAAAAAGAGAAAAGAAGGAAAAAUCCUGUGUGAAUUCCCUGAUCUCUGCUACAAAAAUAGAAGCAGCCUCCCCCUCCCCAUUCCAAAUGCUGGCAGGGAUGUAGCUUUCCUGGAGGUAGCCCCAGAGUCAGUGGUGGCAGCAGUAAGGGAAGCCCAUUACCCUACAGCACACUCUCUGCACCUUUUUGUGCUCAUGAAGGAUUUCUGAACUAACAAAUCCCAUUUGAUAAUUGUGUUGCGAAAGCCUCACUUUGAAUAUUUAAUAGAAUUAUUGCUAGUUAUCAGCACAACUAGGUGAUAAAUUACAAGCGGUCUUUACUCAACACAAGGCAGAGCCGUUAGGGGGUUUCAAUCACAUUUCCCACCCUACCCCCUUGUCAGGAUGACCAUGAAUUAAACAGAAAAACAAACAACCAGCUCCCCGCCCAGAGGUUCAUUCCUUUAAAAAAUAAAGAGAUACAGAAAUGCUCA